UGGUCAUGAUGAGGAUGACUAAUCAACAAGGAUUUAAAUCUAUCCCAAGCUUGGUAUAUAUUUUCUCCUCCCUUAUGUUUAAAACUCACGAUCUCACUCCUCAACUU